CAGUAGGGAAUCUUCCGCAAUGGACGAAAGUCUGACGGAGCAACGCCGCGUGAGUGAUGAAGGUUUUCGGAUCGUAAAGCUCUGUUGUUAGGGAAGAACAAGUACCGUUCGAAUAGGGCGGUACCUUGACGGUACCUAACCAGAAAGCCACGGCUAACUACGUGCCAGCAGCCGCGGUAAUACGUAGGUGGCAAGCGUUGUCCGGAAUUAUUGGGCGUAAAGGGCUCGCAGGCGGUUUCUUAAGUCUGAUGUGAAAGCCCCCGGCUCAACCGGGGAGGGUCAUUGGAAACUGGGGAACUUGAGUGCAGAAGAGGAGAGUGGAAUUCCACGUGUAGCGGUGAAAUGCGUAGAGAUGUGGAGGAACACCAGUGGCGAAGGCGACUCUCUGGUCUGUAACUGACGCUGAGGAGCGAAAGCGUGGGGAGCGAACAGGAUUAGAUACCCUGGUAGUCCACGCCGUAAACGAUGAGUGCUAAGUGUUAGGG
rnacentral:rRNA from 1 species